rnacentral:rRNA from 1 species
UACGUAGGGGGGCAAGCGUUGUCCGGAUUUAUUGGGCGUAAAGAGCGUGUAGGCGGCUAGAUAGGUCCGUUGUGAAAACUCGAGCUUACCCCGAGACGCCGGUGGAAACCAUCUAGCUAGAGUCCGGAAGAGGAGAGUGGAAUUCCUGGUGUAGCGGUGAAAUGCGCAGAUAUCAGGAAGAACACCCGUGGCGAAGGCGGCUCUCUGGUACGUGACUGACGCUGAGACGCGAAAGCGUGGGGAGCGAACAGG